rnacentral:lncRNA from 1 species
CCAUCCAUUGGGGAUGGGUCCUCAGCCAGAUCGGGUACCCUUCAGUCCUGUCUUCCUCAUCGAUAAUCUCUUCCUCAGAUGUUUCAUCAUCGACACCCUCUUCCUCAAGUGCUUCCUGCUCUAGACCAGUAGAUAGGUCUUCAGUUGUUGGCAUUAGUUCUACUGUCCUUGAUACAUCCUUAGCAAUUGACUCUGUAGUUCCUUCAAUUGUAA